GUCUUACACGGACUCCGUGUAGACUGAAUGAUUUAAUAGAAUCGAAGACUCCAGAGUGUUAUAUGACGUCAAUUGGUCACACACACACUCUCCAGGUGCAGCCGAGGUGCAGGGUUUCAAACAAGAAUGGUCCGACGAGACAGAUAUGUGGGAGAAAUUAAGUUUUUGGUUUCAUUAAGCGUAAGAAAUAUCCCAUCCAAAAUAACGUCCAAGGACAGAGAUGAACAAGAAUUGGGAUGCACAGAUCUUCAGAAUUGUAGACGUAUAUAGAACUUACUUACGAAAAUGUGAAAGAAAUUAUUUCAUGGGUACGCCGUGGAGAUUCCACAGAAAUACAUCGUUUAGGGGAUUACCGAGCCUUGGCAAGUUCAGAUGAUGUUGUGCUUGGUGGUUUGGGUUCGAGGAUAAAUAGUCAAUGAAAUAUGUGAAGCAGUUAUAUCAAGAAGAAAACGUGUCAUGGUUCUUACUGAUGAAUCAUCAAACAUGUCCACGCAGAGAAAAAUAAUCUUGUAAAUUUAGAAGAAAUCCCAC